CAAAAAGUAGUAUAUAAUUUACAACUUGCUUACACCAAGUAAAAGGCUCCAGCCCUUUUUGA
rnacentral:tRNA from 1 species